rnacentral:lncRNA from 1 species
GCUAGAGGGGGAAUUUGCUUUGCUGGUUUCACCGGCCUGGUAAACACACCUUUAGAAGAACUGAAAAAUGAAUUCGAACAGCAUAACCAAUUCAGCAUUCUACAAAAGGACAUAAAAUGGGCUAUCCUAAAAGGCUGUGAGACCACUGACAUAGGAAGUAGCCAGAAUUGGUCUAUUCUACUCUACAGGCCAAAACUGUCCAUCUUUGUGGGCAAGUGAGCAUUAAUCUAAGAUCAUCAACAGUAGUAAAUAGGUGGUCCUAUAUCUAUGAAAACUAAGGCCAUUUCUUGGCAAUGAUUACACUGAUGAAAGUCUGCUUUAAAGUUGAUGUGUUUUUGGUACUGUUCAUACCAGGAUUU